UGCAACUCGACUCCAUGAAGCUGGAUUCGCUAGUAAUCGCGCAUCAGCCAUGGCGCGGUGAAUACGUUCCCGGGCCUUGUACACACCGCCCGUCAAGCCAUGGAAGCCGGGAGUGCCUGAAGUGUGCAACCGCAAGGAGCGCCCUAAGGUAAAACUGGUGACUGGGGCUAAGUCGUAACAAGGUAUC
rnacentral:rRNA from 1 species